rnacentral:rRNA from 1 species
GACGAACGCUGGCGGCGUGCUUAACACAUGCAAGUCGAACGGAAAGGCCCUGCUUUUGUGGGGUGCUCGAGUGGCGAACGGGUGAGUAACACGUGAGUAACCUGCCCUUGACUUUGGGAUAACUUCAGGAAACUGGGGCUAAUACCGGAUAGGAGCUCCUGCUGCAUGGUGGGGGUUGGAAAGUUUCGGCGGGUGGGGAUGGACUCGCGGCUUAUCAGCUUGUUGGUGGGGUAGUGGCUUACCAAGGCAUUGACGGGUAGCCGGCCUGAGAGGGUGAACGGCCACAUUGGGACUGAGAUACGGCCCAGACUCCUACGGGAGGCAGCAGUGGGGAAUAUUGCACAAUGGGCGGAAGCCUGAUGAAGCAACGCCGCGUGCGGGAUGACGGCCUUCGGGUUGUAAACCGCUUUCGCCUGUGACGAAGCGUGAGUGACGGUAAUGGGUAAAGAAGCACCGGCUAACUACGUG